UNGGAGAGGAAAGUGGAAUUCCUAGUGUAGCGGUGAAAUGCGUAGAUAUUAGGAAGAACACCAGUGGCGAAGGCGACUUUCUGGACGAAAACUGACGCUGAGGCGCGAAAGCCAGGGGAGCGAACGGGAUUAGAUACCCCGGUAGUCCUGNCCGUAAACGAUGGGUACUAGGUGUAGGAGAUAUCGACCCCUUCUGUGCCGGAGUUAACGCAAUAAGUACCCCGCCUGGGGAGUACGACCGCAAGGUUGAAACUCAAAGGAAUUGACGGGGGCCCGCACAAGCGGUGGAGUAUGUGGUUUAAUUCGACGCAACGCGAAGAACCUUACCAGGUCUUGACAUUGAUGGACAGAACCAGAGAUGGUUCCUCUUCUUCGGAAGCCAGAAAACAGGUGGUGCACGGUUGUCGUCAGCUCGUGUCGUGAGAUGUUGGGUUAAGUCCCGCAACGAGCGCAACCCCUAUCUUAUGUUGCCAGCACUUCGGGUGGGAACUCAUGAGAGACUGCCGCAGACAAUGCGGAGGAAGGCGGGGAUGACGUCAAAUCAUCAUGCCCCUUAUGACCUGGGCUACACACGUACUACAAUGGGAGUUAAUAGACGGAAGCGAGAUCGCGAGAUGGAGCAAACCCGGGAAACACUCUCUCAGUUCGGAUCGUAGGCUGCAACUC
rnacentral:rRNA from 1 species